UAUAAGUUUGACCUCAUUUGGUUUCGAUAUGUAUAAGUUUCACUAAAGAUAUA
rnacentral:sRNA from 1 species